rnacentral:rRNA from 1 species
UACGUAGGGUGCGAGCGUUGUCCGGAAUUAUUGGGCGUAAAGAGCUCGUAGGCGGUGUGUCGCGUCGGCCGUGAAAACCUGCAGCUUAACUGUGGGCUUGCGGUCGAUACGGGCAUCACUGGAGUUCGGCAGGGGAGACUGGAAUUCCUGGUGUAGCGGUGAAAUGCGCAGAUAUCAGGAGGAACACCGGUGGCGAAGGCGGGUCUCUGGGCAGUAACUGACGCUGAGGAGCGAAAGCGUGGGGAGCGAACAGG